AUGAAUCGUGGUUUGUGGAAAAAUGGAGCUUGGGAUCUGAGAAUCUGUUAUAACAAUGGAUGGUUUGCAAAGGAAAUCUCUCCGUUAUUUGAAUGGAUUGUCAUGGAACUUGAAUGGGGUCUGCUAUGUGGUUUGGAUAUUGAGGAUAGCUUGAAGCGUUGGUUCGAUUAUGAGCAAGUUCAGGACGGCUUCAUGAUAUUAACUGAAUUGGUUUAUUUUGCAGGUUGCAGUAGCAUAACUUGA